CUCUAUGGCCAUACCACCCUGGACACGCCUGAUCUUAUCUAUUUUAGAAGCGAAGCAGGGUUGGGCCUGUUACUUGGAUGGGAAUAUCAUCACACAUUAAAUACAAAAUAACCUACAGAAU
rnacentral:rRNA from 1 species